GUCCUCUUAGUUAAAUGGAUAUAACACGACCCUCCUAAGGUUGAGUUGUAGGUUCGAUUCCUACAGAGGACG
rnacentral:tRNA from 1 species